rnacentral:rRNA from 1 species
UGGUCAAGUUAUUAAGGGUGCAGGGCGGAUGCCUUGGCACUAGGAGCCGAUGAAGGACGUGAUAAGCUGCGAUAAGCUUCGGGGAGUUGCACGUAAACUUUGAUCCGAAGAUUUCCGAAUGAGGAAACUCACUUAGAGUAAUGUCUAAGUAUCAUUAAGUGAAUACAUAGCUUAAUGAGGGGAACUCAGGGAACUGAAACAUCUAAGUACCUGAAGGAAGAGAAAGAAAUUCGAUUCCGUAAGUAGCGGCGAGCGAACGCGGAUUAGCCCAAACUAAUAAAGUUUUCUUUAUUGGGGUUGCGGAAAUAUCAUAACGAAGAGGUAUCGUAAUUGAAGAGGUUUGGAAAGACCCACCACAGAAGGUAAUAGUCCUGUAUGUUAAACGAGAAGACUUUAGAUAUGAUCCAGAGUACCACGGGACACGUGAAACCCUGUGGGAAGCAGGAGGGACCACCCUCCAAGGCUAAAUACUACCUAGUGACCGAUAGCGUAUAGUACCGUGAGGGAAAGGUGAAAAGAACCCCGGGAGGGGAG